rnacentral:rRNA from 1 species
AUGUACCCUGUAGCUUGGGCAGUUGUUGAAAAGGAGACUACGGAAACAUGGAAAUUGUUCAUUGGGCUGCUAAUCAAGGAUCUAGAUAUAAAUGAUCAAGGAGCUAGGUGGGUUUUCAUAUCUGACCAGCAGAAGGUAAACAUUGUUGUUGUAUGUUUUGUUUUUUGCUACUCCUACAAUUGUUAUAUUUGUUAUGUGCUGUAA